ACACAAGUCCAAUGUCUCUUCCAAAGCCGCGAGUCAGAUGCCAUCACUCGCUCCCUGAGACGGGGUGGAGAGAGGGUCCAGAAGUGUUAUCUACGUGGAGUUGUCUCCACAGGGAUGGAAAUACCAGAAGUGGGAAGACGAGUCUCCCGGUAGCUAUCUCACAGGUUUGGUGCGAAAGUGAAAUAAAGUUGACCCCAUCCUCACUUGCUGGAGGCAGGAGAUGUGAUUCAAUGUGUCAGAGAACUUCCUAAACGACAAGACAGCAAUUUUUUAAAGUUAACUUAAAAAAGAAAAGAAAAGAAAGAAAGCUCAUGUCCUUGGCUGAUGAGCGUGGAGAAGACCUUGGGAUGGUUUUCAGAGAGACAGAAGCCUUAGCACAGGCCUGCUGCUGCACGCAUGAGUUUGGGGCUUCACCGGACAACUGUGGGACCCCCGCCCCCCCCCCGCCCCCCCCCCGCCUGGCCGCAUCCUCAGAGGUUUCCCAUGUCACCGUCUCCUCCAUGCAGCUGUGGGUCUGUCCUUCCUAAAACAGCAUAAUCAUGUAAUGCGUUUGCUUUAAAACCUCCGGAAGGUCUCGUUUUCCAGCAGUGAUGCCGUCCUAGUUCCUUGGCAUGUCUAUUACCCUAGUGACAGUCCAGCUCCAACUCCGCUGUCCAGACCCACCCCCUGUCACUUGUCCCUGCAGGUUCUCUUUUGGCUACAAGAAACCACCUGUUUUCCUGUGCUCGUGCUCCUCCUUUUCUUACCUGUGCUCCUGCUGGUCCCUCCAACCAGAACCCUAUCUCCUCCACCUCUUCUCUGGAAGGUGGAUUCCCAUGACCCACUUCCAACGUUUCCUCCCUUGAAGAGGUCUCCUCUCGAACCCGCUCUCUGCCUUUUCCCAUUCAGCCAGCUUUCAUUGCUUCCUCUGUUAUUCUCUCAAAGCAUUUUUUGAAAGUCUGUUGCAGAGUUCCCACAAUGGCUCAGCAGUAGCAAACCCAAAUAGCACCCAAAGGACGUGGGGUUCGAUCCCUGGUCUCGCUCAGUGGGUUAAGGAUCCCGUGUUACCUUGAGCUAUGGUGUAGGUCACAGAUGAGGCUCAGAUCCAGCAUUGCUGUGGUUGUGGUGUAGGCUGGCAGUUGUAGCUCUGAUUUGACCCCUAGCCUGGGAAUUUCCAUUUGCCUUGGGUAUGGCCCUAAAAUGCAAAUAAAUAAACAAAUAUAAAAAGCCUGUCUCUAAUUAAAAAAAAAAAAAAAAAAAAAAAA
rnacentral:lncRNA from 1 species